CACCCAAAAAAGCUACUGUUGAUUGAGAGUGCCAUGUUGCACCAAAAAAGGAGAUAUCCAAGGAAGCAAAAGAAGGGAAGGAAGUCAAAGAAAUGGAAUCAACAAAAGAUACUAAAACCAUUGAUAAGCUUGAAAAAGAGCAACACUCUGUGUCAACCAGGCAGACCGACAUAGAUAAAAAGGAAAAGAGUGACAAAGGGGACAAAGGAAAUACAUCC